AGAAAGGGAGUGAGGCUAGGGUUUGGAUUUGAUGCAGAUCUGAAGGACCUCAUUCGUUGCACGAAUCUUAAACAUUGGAAGAUGGAUAGGAAUUCCGGGUGAGGUGUCCAUGGAGUCCAAACAUACAGUAGUAGUAGAAAGGCCGGUGGGCCCUGUGUGAUGAUGUGUAUCAAUACGCGGCGGGAUAAGCCCAAGUUCUUCCCCCAAGCACCUGACGGCUCGGCCCAGGCCCAUCAGUUAGGAACGGCACGCACGUGACGGUGCUCUGUGCAUAUCUGCAUAUCAGUGGCAUGUGCAAUGUUUACUGACACGUGGGCCUAAUCUGACAGUUGGCUACAUAUUGCAAAUUUUUUGCGGAACCGUACGUACCAGUAAUCCAGUAUCCCUGUGCCUAGAAGCGCAGGUGUAGCCGUGACUCA
rnacentral:lncRNA from 1 species